GAUGAAGAACGCAGCGAAAUGCGAUAAGUAGUGUGAAUUGCAGAAUUCAGUGAAUCAUCGAAUCUUUGAACGCACAUUGCGCCCUUUGGUAUUCCAAAGGGCAUGCCUGUUCGAGCGUCAUUUGUACCCUUAAGCUUUGCUUGGUGUUGGGCGUCUUGUCUCUAGCUUUGCUGGAGACUCGCCUUAAAGUAAUUGGCAGCCGGCCUACUGGUUUCGGAGCGCAGCACAAGUCGCACUCUCUAUCAGCAAAGGUCUAGCAUCCAUUAAGCCUUUUUUUCAACUUUUGACCUCGGAUCAGGUAGGGAUACCCGCUGAACUUAAGCAUAUCAAUAAGCGGAGGA
rnacentral:misc_RNA from 1 species